GGCCGCGGGAAUUCGAUUCAGGCCUAACACAUGCAAGUCGAGCGGUAGAGAGAAGCUUGCUUCUCUUGAGAGCGGCGGACGGGUGAGUAAUGCCUAGGAAUCUGCCUGGUAGUGGGGGAUAACGUUCGGAAACGGACGCUAAUACCGCAUACGUCCUACGGGAGAAAGCAGGGGACCUUCGGGCCUUGCGCUAUCAGAUGAGCCUAGGUCGGAUUAGCUAGUUGGUGAGGUAAUGGCUCACCAAGGCUACGAUCCGUAACUGGUCUGAGAGGAUGAUCAGUCACACUGGAACUGAGACACGGUCCAGACUCCUACGGGAGGCAGCAGUGGGGAAUAUUGGACAAUGGGCGAAAGCCUGAUCCAGCCAGGCCGCGUGUGUGAAGAAGGUCUUCGGAUUGUAAAUCAAAGGAAGUUGGGAGGAAGGGCAUUACCUAAUACGUUA
rnacentral:rRNA from 1 species